CCAAGGCUUGUUUGCUUUGUACGUGUUUAUGAAUAAGACAUAUCUUAAUCUAUAUGCUUUAGAUUAUGAUUCAUGUAGAGAAAAUGAUGCAGAGUUUUGAGACAUUUGAUGGUCAAGAUGAAGCGGAAUAUGGUGAUAGUUCUAAAGAGCUUGAACCAUAUGUAGUUCUAAAUAAUCGCAUCCAUGAUUUAUAAGAGGAGGAUGUGACACACCCCGAUCCGGAAUGUUCAUCUGGACUUCGAAUCAAGCUGUGAUGGCUGACAUUAGGAAAGUGACGAAGCCAUAAAGUGUAGUGAUGUGGAAAAUGUGAGUAAAUUUAAACCUAAAAGUGCCUAAAUGUAAGAGUGCGCUUGGGAGCGGGAAUGAACCUGUUUCACACGUAAUGUUAGAGCAUAAUUAAAGUACAGUAAAGGUAAAAGAGGAAUUAUACCAUCGGGAAUAUCCCCAUAGCAACGUUUUGCCAGAAAUCCUCGUUGACACGAAAGCUCAUCUACUAAAGUUGGAGGAGCGAAAAAUAAGGGUGAGUGGGCCUAAAAAUAAAGCUUUAUAAAACCUUUUCGAAAAUGUAAUAUAACCUCUCUCUGUAAAAUAAGUAUAGUUUCCAAAAUAUACACAUGUACUAGUAUCUGGCAGUGAUACCUUUGUGCCAGAACGCCGGUUCACAGUUUCAGGAUAAUGAAUAAUAUCAAAAUAUCAUAUAUGCAUU